GUGGGGAAUCUUGCGCAAUGGGCGAAAGCCUGACGCAGCCAUGCCGCGUGAAUGAUGAAGGUCUUAGGAUUGUAAAAUUCUUUCACCGGGGACGAUAAUGACGGUACCCGGAGAAGAAGCCCCGACUAACUUCGUGCCAGCAGCCGCGGUAAUACGAAGGGGGCUAGCGUUGCUCGGAAUUACUGGGCGUAAAGGGCGCGUAGGCGGACAGUUUAGUCAGAGGUGAAAGCCCAGGGCUCAACCUUGGAAUUGCCUUUGAUACUGGCUGUCUUGAGUACGGGAGAGGUGAGUGGAACUCCGAGUGUAGAGGUGAAAUUCGUAGAUAUUCGGAAGAACACCAGUGGCGAAGGCGACUCACUGGCCCAAUACUGACGCUGAGGCGCGAAAGCGUGGGGAGCAAACAGGAUUAGAUACCCGAGUAGUCC
rnacentral:rRNA from 1 species